rnacentral:rRNA from 1 species
GGUGAUGGCGUGCCUUUUGGAGAAUGAUCCUGCGAGUUACGUUAAACGGCGAGGUUAAGUAUUACGGAGCCGAAGGGAAACCAAGUCUUAAUAGGGCGAUUUAGUCGUUUGGCGUAGACGCGAAACCUGGUGAUCUAAACCUGUCCAGGAUGAAGCUGUGGUAAGACACAGUGGAGGUCCUAACCCACCGCCGUUGAAAAGUUGGGGGAUGAGGUAGGUUUAGGGGUGAAAAGCCAAUCGAACCAGGAGAUAGCUCGUUCUCUCCGAAAUGUAUCUAGGUACAGCCUUGAGUGUUCAAUUAUGGGGGUAGAGCACUGAAUGAUCUAGGGGGCAUAUUGCUUACUGAAAUCAAUCAAACUCCGAAUACCAUAAUUUAUAGCUCAGGAGUGAGACUAUGGGAGUUAACUUCCAUUGUCAAAAGGGAAACAACCCAGACCACCAGCUAAGGUCCCUAAUUAUAACUAAGUGGGAAAGGAGGUGGAGAUUCACAAACAACUAGGAGGUUGGCUUAGAAGCAGCCAUACCUUUAAAGAGUGCGUAAUAGCUCACUAGUCGAGAGUCUCUGCGCCGACAAUGUAACGGGGCUAAGUUAUAAACCGAAGCUGUGGAAUCCGUAAGGAUUGGUAGGAGAGCGUUCUGUAGGCCGUUGAAGGAGAAGGGUAACCAACUUUGGAGGUAUCAGAAGUGAGAAUGCAGGAAUAAGUAGCGAGAAAGGGGGCGAGAAUCCCCCUCGCCGGAAGACCAAGGUUUUCAGGGUAAAGCUUGUCUUCCCUGAGUAAGCCGGGACCUAAGCCCAGGCUAUAAUGCGUAGGCGAAUGGAAAACAGAUUAAUAUUUCUGUGCCAGUCAUUUAUUGUGAUGGAGGGACGCAGAAGGGUAUGCACGCGGACGAUUGGUUGUGUCCGUAGAAGUAUGUAGGAUGACUUAGUAGGUAAAUCCAUUAAGUUAUAUCUGAGGUAUGAUAUACAGUCGUAAGAUGAAUGUGCAAAUCCCACGCUGCCAAGAAAAGCUUCUAACGUUAAUAUUUGACUGCCCGUACUGCAAACCGACACAGGUGGUCAGGAUGAGAAAUCUAAGGCGGACAGGCUAACUCUCGUUAAGGAACUCUGCAAAAUAACCUCGUAACUUCGGGAGAAGAGGAGCCCUUGGGUGUUAGUAUCCACGCGGUACAAAGCGCUCGAGGGUCGCAGUGAAGAGGCUCAAGCAACUGUUUAACAAAAACACAGGUCUAUGCUAAGCUGGAAGGCGAUGUAUAUGGGCUGACACCUGCCCAGUGCUGGAAGGUUAAGAGGAGGAGUGAGAGCUCCGAAUUGAAGCCCCAGUGAACGGCGGCCGUAACUAUAACGGUCCUAAGGUAGCGAAAUUCCUUGUCGGGUAAGUUCCGACCUGCACGAAUGGUGUAAUGAUUUGAGCGCUGUCUUGACGGGAGGCCUGGUGAAAUUGUAUUACCGGUGAAGAUACCGGUUACCUACAGUAGGACGGAAAGACCCCAUGGAGCUUUACUGUAGCUUGGUAUUGGGUUUUGGCAUUGCAUGUAUAGGAUAGUUGGGAGACUGAGAUGAUAUGGCGCUAGCUGUAUCGGAGUCAUCGGUGGAAUACCAACCAUUCAAUGCUGAAAUUCUAAUCUGUGGUUUGUAGCCACGGAGACAGUGCUAGGUGGGCAGUUUGACUGGGGCGGUCGCCUCCGAAAGAGUAACGGAGGCGUUCAAAGGUUCUCUCAGGUUGGAUGGAAAUCAACCAUAGAGUGCAAUGGCAUAAGAGAGCUUGACUGCAAGACUGACGGGUCGAGCAGAUGCGAAAGCAGGACAUAGUGAUCCGGCGAUUCCGAAUGGAAGGGUCGUCGCUCAACGGAUAAAAGCUACCCUGGGGAUAACAGGCUGAUCCUACCCGAGAGUCCAUAUCGACGGUAGGGUUUGGCACCUCGAUGUCGGCUCAUCGCAUCCUGGGGCUGGAGAAGGUCCCAAGGGUUGGGCUGUUCGCCCAUUAAAGCGGUACGUGAGCUGGGUUCAGAACGUCGUGAGACAGUUCGGUCCCUAUCCACUGUAGGCGUUAGAAUAUUGAGAAGACCUGUCCUUAGUACGAGAGGACCGGGAUGGACAAACCUCUGAUGUACCAGUUGUCACGCCAGUGGCACAGCUGGGUAGUCACGUUUGGAAUAGAUAACCGCUGAAAGCAUCUAAGCGGGAAACUAACUUCAAGAUAAGUAUUCU